UACGAAGGGGGCUAGCGUUGCUCGGAAUCACUGGGCGUAAAGCGCACGUAGGCGGGUCGUUAAGUCGGGGGUGAAAUCCUGGAGCUCAACUCCAGAACUGCCUUCGAUACUGGCGAUCUUGAGUCUGGGAGAGGUGAGUGGAACUCCGAGUGUAGAGGUGAAAUUCGUAGAUAUUCGGAAGAACACCAGUGGCGAAGGCGGCUCACUGGCCCGGUACUGACGCUGAGGCACGAAAGCUCGGGGAGCAAACGGG
rnacentral:rRNA from 1 species